UGCGGGGUGGAGCAGUGGUAGCUCGUUGGGCUCAUAACCCAAAGGCCGGUGGUUCGAAUCCAUCCCCCGCUACGA
rnacentral:tRNA from 1 species